rnacentral:rRNA from 1 species
AAAUGAAUAGACGGGCACCCGCACAAGCGGUGGAGCAUGCUGUUUAAUUCGACAAUACGCGAAAAACCUUACCUAGACUUGACAUCCCCGGCAAAGCUAUAGAAAUAUAGUGGAGGUUAUCCGGGUGACAGGUGGUGCAUGGUUGUCGUCAGCUCGUGUCGUGAGAUGUUUGGUUAAGUCCAAUAACGAGCGCAACCCUCGUCGUUAGUUGCUAACAUUAAGUUGAGAACUUUAACGAUACUGCCAGUGUAAACUGGAGGAAGGUGGGGAUGACGUCAAAUCAUCAUGCCCCUUACGUCUAGGGCUACAGGCGUGCUACAAUGGCCAAAACAACGAGUUGCGAUACAGUGAUGUAAAGCUAAUCUCUGAAAAUUGGUCUCAGUCCGGAUUGGAGUCUGCAAUUCGACUCCAUGAAGUUGGAAUCGCUAGUAAUCCCGAAUCAGAAUGUCGGGGUGAAUACGUUCCCGGGUGUUGUACACACCGCCCGU